AUGCUGACUCCCUCUGAUUCCCAGGCUGCAGAACUGUUCCUGACACUGGUGUCUGAGCUCCAGGGCCUCUCCCCAGAUGAGCUGUUGGCCCUGUGGCGACAAUCUUCCUUUAAAUGCCGGGACAACUGGCAGCCGCUGGUGGACGCCCUGCCCUCCUGUGGCACCGAGCCCUGUGUGGGCCUCAUGAAGGACCUCAUCGUGUCCGGGGAGGUGGAGGUGGACCAGACGGAAGCCUGGCUCUGGUCGCUGGCCUUCAUCCCGCAGCCCACGGAUGCCAUGGUCCACAUGCUGCUGCCGCUCCUGCACACCUCGGGGGCCAGCCCCACCGCCUUCCUUGGUAUCUCGGCCCUGGUGCACAACCUCUGUGCCUCCCUGGACGGGCCCUGUGGACAGCUGCCUGGUGUCGGCUCCCUCGUGAGGACCCUGGGACAGGCCUUGGGUGCCAACUGCACCUUCCAGGAGCCCUCGGACGCUGACCAGGUGAGGAUGAGCGGCAUCCCAGGUGCAGCCCCAUGGUGGGGCCCGAGCCAUGCAGGGGAGCCCACUGCUGCGUGGGUGGGUGGGCUGAGCACCCCCCUCCCCAGGCCUGAAGGCCCUUUUGCCAUCUCGUUCCAGCUCCGGCUUGUGCUGAAGGCGAUUGGCAACGCGGGCCUGGCGGCCACAGCUCUCAGCCCCACACUGAGCACCUGCGCGUCUCAGAGGGGCUGCCCCCCUGAGGUCCGCCUGGGGGCCAUCCAGGCCUUCCGGAGGAUCCCCUGCUCUGCAAACGUGAGCUCCUGCAUGUCAUUCGCUGGGGUUACGAUUGGGUGGCCGUGGCUCUCGAACCACCGUUUGCUAAUUCACUUCUUUGUUCAUUCAUUCAUCAUAGGUAUACUGAGCUCCUACUAUGCACUGGGCCCUCGUGUGAAUAGGUGUCAGGUCUCUGAUGUCGCGGAGCCUGUCUCUGGUGGGAGGCAUUACUUAGCGACCAAACGCACAAACAAGCCUAUGGUUGCAAACCGUAUAGAAGCCGUCCUGUGCUGCAAACGCUCUAGUUCCGGGGUUUGCAGGCUUUGGACCACAGGCCACAUCCUCGCUGGCUGUUUUGUACACAGCACUUUGCUAGAAUGCAGCUGCUCCCGCUCAUUUAUGUGUUGCCUGGGGCUGCUGUCUUGCUACAACUGCAGAACUGAGCAGUGGCAGGAGAGUGCAUGGCUCACAAAGCCAGAAAAAUUUACCAUGUGUCCCUUUGCCAAAAAAGGUUGCUGA
rnacentral:lncRNA from 1 species